UAGGAAUCCAGUCCGUGGAGAUCUUGGGAGAUUCAAUGCUUGUCUUAAAACAAAUUGCUGGAGAAUACAAGUGUCUAAAUCCUUCCUUGGCUGUAUAUCUAGUAGCAGCUAGAAAUCUGUUGACAGAAUUCAGAGAAGCUACUUGGGAACACAUCCCAAGGGAAGAGAACUUUGCAGCCAAUGAACUGGCUCAGGUAGCAUCAGGCAUACAAAUGCCCGAAGACUGCGUCCAGAGGAUCAUCAAGAUAGGAAGAAAGAGUCUACCGUCAGUUCUGACCAGAGGAAUGGAGAUAGAGGUCAAUUCUGCCUUGAUCACUAAAGGCGAUUGGAGGGAGCCUAUCAUGACUUACUUGCAGUAUCCCACUCUGCCCUCUG
rnacentral:lncRNA from 1 species